rnacentral:rRNA from 1 species
UAGGGAAUCUUCCGCAAUGGACGCAAGUCUGACGGAGCAACGCUGCGUGAGUGAAGAAGGAUUUCGGUUCGUAAAACUCUGUUGUUAGAGAAGAACAGCGCAUAGAGUAACUGUUAUGCGUGUGACGGUAUCUAACCAGAAAGCCACGGCUAACUACGUGCCAGCAGCCGCGGUAAUACGUAGGUGGCAAGCGUUGUCCGGAUUUCUUGGGCGUAAAGCGAGCGCAGGCGGUCAAUUAAGUCUGAUGUGAAAGCCCCCGGCUCAACCGGGGAGGGUCAUUGGAAACUGGUUGACUUGAGUGCAGAAGAGGAGAGUGGAAUUCCAUGUGUAGCGGUGAAAUGCGUAGAUAUAUAGAGGAACACCAGUGGCGAAGGCGACUCUCUGGUCUGUAACUGACGCUGAGGCUCGAAAGCGUGGGUAGCAAACAGG